rnacentral:lncRNA from 1 species
ACCUUCAUGGGUCCUAAAUACAAACUAAUUAACUGUCUAGUGUAGUUCUGGAACAUCUCCCACCACCUACCUCUCCAGCCAUACCUGGGCAGUUCUUGUCUUGUGACUGUUGGUCAUAUAAAUUCCUACCUUUUCUUCAAGGCCCACCCCGAAUCCCUCCUCCCUACGGAAGACUCCUCAGUUACGGCCCACGAAGCCUGAACUCCUGCGGUAUAUACACUGGGUGUCCACUUAGCACUGAACAUGUUCUCCCUCCCUGCUUUUACCUCUUUAAGUGUUUGGUUUGUCUCAGAUUAGGUGGCCUACUUGUAUUCCUCUGCUCCAGUAAGUCACCCAUGGCAGGCUAGGACAUCCUACUUGUUGCAGGCCUCUGGUACAGCAAGACUGUCUUCACUGCCUUGGCUUUUCAUGACGUGAAAACAUCGUGGUGUAAGGGUUCCUUAGCAGCCACUCCAUUUGCAAAUUGGUAGAGUUGGGAUGGAAGAGUGGAUGGGAGUGGAUAAAACAGUCUGACUACAAAUCUCUAAAUCAGACAAAAAAAAAUGUUUUAAGAUUUUAUUUAUUUAUUCAUGAGAGACACAAAGUCAGAGAUACAGGCAAAGGGAGAGGCAGGCUCCAUGCAGGGAUCCCAACGCGGAACCCAAUCCUGGGUUCCCAGGAUCACACCGGGGACCGAAGGUGGCACUAAACCACUGAGCCAUCCAGGCUGCCCCAGACAAAAUGUUUAAUUAUAGUCCUUUCCUCUCUGGUCCCUAGUAUGGUAAUCUUCCUUCCUGAAUAUGCUCUGUGAUUUUUCACUUUGUAUCAGUGAAUAUGUUUUCAUGAUAAGUCAUCUGAAACCCUCCUUGAAAGUAGCUGGGGUAGGAAUAAUUUCUCCGUAAGUCUCAGUGACAGAGCCAGAUAUACUACUCUUGGUUUUAUCUCUUUAUUCUUUAGCUCCUUUUAUACUGGCUUCUACUCAUUAAAUCUUAUAUUAAGUGAAACAGAUGGAGCUUUAUUAAUGGCUUUAAAGCUGUAUCUCCAGGGCUAAUCUCAGAGCCUUCUAAUCCUCUACAUUUUAUAUUUUGGGUUGCAAGGAAGUUUUCGGGGGGGGGGGAUAUUUCUUGGUUUGAUAUUCAUACAUCAAGCUCUGAGAUGCUGGACUUAUAUUUGAAUGCAGGUUUGACUCAGAACUUUUUUUUUUAAGAUUUUAUUUAUAUAUUUGAGAGAGAAUGUGUGAGCAAAAGAGCACAAACGGGGGGGCGGGGGCAAGGGGAGAGGGAGAAGCAGACUCCCCACUGAGCAGGAGCUUGAUGCAGGGCUCGAUCCUAGGACCUGGGAUCAUAACCUGAGCUGAAGGCAGAUGCUUAACCAAUUGAGCCACCCAGGCGCCCCAACUUUUCAACCCCUCUGCACUCCACUCCAAGGAAAAAGCAUUCUCCCUUUUUCCCUUAAGAUCAGCUUUUCUGCUUGUCCUCCUGAUAGUCCUUACAUCCUCUUUUCCUAUAUCCUUAGUCUCCUUCCUGCAUGGGCUACUUGUGCUCUAUGUGAUCAAGUCUCUCCUAUAAAAACUUUGUUGACUCCAAAUCCCUUUGAACCAACCUCUCUCCCCUGCCUUUCUUAAGCCAGGUAUCUUUAAGACCUGCCCACUUUCCACUCAUUCAUAAUCAUACUUUGUUGACUACCUACCGCGUUCUAGACCUGAUGCUAGGCAUUGGGCGUGAUGGCGGGCAGGACAGCACCGCGGCCUCGCGGAGUUCAGCCUCCCGGCCAAGGCUGAGCCCUCGCCAGGCCACCGAAACUGCUCAGAGCUGUCUGUACCCCACAUUCUGUGGCUCUUCUCAGCCCUUCCCCGUCAGCGGCACGAGGCGCUUGAGCCAUAAUCAAUAGCACCCUAAAACUUAACAGGAAUCCUCCUCCUGGGAUCCCUGGGUGGCGCAGCGGUUUGGCGCCUGCCUUUGGCCCAGGGCGCGAUCCUGGAGACCCGGGAUCGAGUCCCACGUCGGGCUCCCAGUGCGUGGAGCCUGCUUCUCUCUCUGCCUCUCUCUCUCUCCAUGUCUAUCAUAAAUAAAUAAAUCUUUAAAAAAAAAAAAAAAAAAAAAA